rnacentral:lncRNA from 1 species
AAAAUUCAAGCCAAACCCAACUGUUGGAUUAAAAAUAUUUGGGUUUGUUUGGGUUGAACCCAAAUUUUUAUGGUUUGGUUUGAAUUGACUUAAAACCCAAUCCAAACCAAUCCAUGACCACCCCUAUAUAUAGGAUAAUAACUAUUACGUUGCUUUUAGUUAAUGUAACCAAGAACUUGUUAUUCCAUAAUUUCGGUUCUAUUAGAAUAUAUGUUGAAAAGUGAGGUUUAAUUGAAGAGUUAGCUAAGGAUUCUUAAGCAAGUAGCCUAACAUCUACUCUUUAACCCUGGCUUCUUUGCUAAGCAUAUAUGACAAUUCUUUUGUGCAAUACUUUUUGAGUGGCCAAAGGAAUCAAUAAUAGCAAAAGAGUAAUGAUAUGGUCACAAACUCUUGUACAAACUUAUUUUGUACAAAUUGAUGUGGCAUGAUAAAAUUGGUUGAAUUAAAUAUCUCUUGGUCCACAUGAUUUAUUUAUAUUAUUUUGUAUUUUCAUUCAACCAAUUAAUUAAUACCACAUCAGUUUGUAUGAGAGUUUGUGACUGUAUAAUUACUCAUAGCAAAAUAUUCAUUACAAUAACCGUGAGGAAAGGUAAAAAGAUGUUCUUACGAAGCAUCUAUAAGAAAUCACGUGCAAUAAAGGGAUAUGGAAGUGGGAAGUAGUAAGCCAUAUCUAUCAAUUUUUAGAACUAGGCUAAUAUGUGAAAAAAUGCAAUCUACUAGGUUUCAUGUCAAGUAGGGUUGGUAAUUGGCACGGAUUGGGAUUUGUCCAUCCUGAUUCAAUUCGAAAUAAUACAUUGGGAGGAAAUAUUAUCUCGAAUCUCAUUCCAAACAAUAAAUUGGGACAAAAAAGUGUCGUGAUCUCGUUUUGAAUUUCAUUUGCAAUUCUUAAAUGUCCUGGAUGAUGUGGGUUUACUGUCAUAUACCACAGAUUUUGUCAUAAAUAAUAUGUCGUAUGCAUGAUUGACAUAUCAAAUUUAUAUGUUUCAUCAAACCAACUUGUCAUUUGCUUCUGAAAGCCCUUAGUAUGUUUACUUUUUGAAUUAAGGAAUAAGAAUAAUUUAUAUUCCUCAUUGAUUGUGUUUACUUGUUAAAAAAAUAUAAAACAAUGAGAAUGAAUUUUGCAAAUGAGAAUGGGAAUAAGAAAUUGAGAAUCUCAUUCUUAUGAGAGAUGGGAAUGAAAAUUGGGACAAGGA